rnacentral:rRNA from 1 species
ACGAGUGGUGCAAGCGUUAUUCGGAAUCAUUGGGCGUACAGGGCGUGUAGGUGGUAUGUUAAGUCUGUUGUCAAAGACUCUAGCCUAACUGGAGAAAGGCAAUGGAGACUGGUGUACUAGAGGGUGGAAGAGAGAAGUGGAAUUCUCGGUGGAGCGGUUAAAGGCGUAGAUAUCGAUAGGAACACGGAUGGCGGAGGGGGCUUAUUAGUCCUUGCCUGACGCUGAGGCGUGUAAGCGUGGGGAGCCAACAG